CGGGGCUAAGACGCUGUGGCGGGGUGGGGGAGGGGCGCGCGCUGAGGGGGUGCGCGGCCGUUGCUCUGUGGGGGACGCUGAGGAGUCUCCCAUCAUCAUGGCUCCCACUUCAUAGCACAGCAGGGUGGGGAGGGCCCCCAGGAGGCUGUCGCAUCCCCCCUGCUCGGGGCAGGAUCGCCCCUGUUUGAACCUCCCCGAUGGGCCUCAGCUGUACUCAAAAGCCUCCUGCGAGGGAGAUCUCAUGACCCACGUAGACAGCACUGGAUUCAUCCCGGACACCUUCCCACCAAGGCAGCUCCUCCCGCCGGCCAUCCCGCCCACAGGCAGAGCCCUCUGCAGUCACCUGGCGCUGAACAAGGACCUGGUGUUGUCUGCUGAUGGUGGAAAAACACUGCAGUCGCUUUCCUCUGGUACUGGACAAGGAGCUUUACUGGAACGAGGGAACCAGCAUUAUCCUGAUCCAUCUACAUCUAUUACACGGCCAUGCUCUGCCAAGCAGUAGCAAGUACCAAGACUCCUGCAAGGAAACGCUGUUGGGAGAAAAAGCAAUCCAGCCAAAACGCCACUGGUGAGUCCAGCCAGCAAGAGAGUUGCACCAGCACGAGAGCGUGAGGAGGAAUGCAGGCUCCAGCCCUGCUUGCCAGCACUGCCCCCAAUGAAACCCCCUCACAUUAACAGCACUUCUUCAAAAACACUCAGAUGCUUGGGAAAGUCCUGUUUUGGGCUACAUAUAAGGACGGUGACUCCUGCCAAAUCAGUGCAUCCUCGCUUUUAACCCAUGCUGAAGCAAGGCCCUUCCGGUUAAUACCCCAACAUCUGUUUAAACCAGGGGUGGGUAAAAUACUACCCGCGGGUUCUGUCUGACCCACCGAUUGACUCCUGCAAGCGGGCAGGUGGCGGCUCUGCUGGCACCGCAAGGGAUGCUGGGCAGAAGCAGCCUCGCCUGCCUGGCACAGCACAGCAGGUCCUGUGCAAGCUGCGCUUAAGCCCCAGUGGUGCCACCCUGGGUGGAAGCAGGCCCACCUGCCCAGCUCUGCGUGGCAGGCCCUGGGCGAGUCGCACUCUGACCCCAGCACCCCAACUUGGGCUGGGCGGGCAGUGCCUCAUGUCUGUGUGUCUCAGAGCUAGUGGGAGCCGCCCCAGGCAGUAGGACUGUGCAGCAGGUGCUCCACACUUGUGCCCAAAGGUGGUGAAGCUUCCCCAGUCCCUCCCAACAGCAGAGCCCUAGCCCUGGCCCCACCUUUUUUGCCACCUGCAGCCACCGAGCUGGCCCAGCCACCUGCUGCCUCCCGCAUGGAGCCAGCACUGUUCCCAUCCUGUCUGGGACAGGGAACUGAAGCAGGCUGGAGGGGGCCACUGGGCUUCCACAGGCUAUGUGGGGGCAAGUGUGGAUGGGAAGGCAUGGGGUGCAGGUGGCUCAAGGGGCAUGUGGUGUAGGCUGAAGCAGGAGCUCCCUCGUGAUUGCAGAGGUGGCUGGAUGGCAGCUGGGCUCUGCUGGGGUGGCAGUGUCCUCCCUUGGCCGAGUGUCUUCCCUCUUGCAUAUGCUAUUCAACAAAACGUAAAUCAAGACACAAAUUAAUUUUUUAAAUAAAAUAUUUUAUAAAGUUUGA